GUGGGUGAUGACUUAACAUUCUUCACUUUGACCUGACUGUCUAGUGGUGAAAAAGCUCAGUCUGAUG